GACGUAGGAGGCGAGCGUUGUCCGGAUUCAUUGGGCGUAAAGAGCGCGCAGGCGGCUUGGUAAGUCGGAUGUGAAAUCCCGAGGCUCAACCUCGGGUCUGCAUCCGAUACUGCCCGGCUAAAGGUAGGUAGGGGAGAUCGGAAUUCCUGGUGUAGCGGUGAAAUGCGCAGAUAUCAGGAGGAACACCGGUGGCGAAGGCGGAUCUCUGGGCCUUACCUGACGCUCAGGCGCGAAAGCUAGGGGAGCGAACUGG
rnacentral:rRNA from 1 species